GCAAACUUGGUCAUUUAGAGGAAGUAAAAGUCGUAACAAGGUCUCCGUUGGUGAACCAGCGGAGGGAUCAUUACCGAGUUUACAACUCCCAAACCCCUAUGUGAACCUUACCAAUUCGUUGCCUCGGCGGGUCGCCCCGGGUGCGUCGCAGCCCCGGAACCAGGCGUCCGCCGGAGGACCAAAACUUUACAAACUCUUCUGUAUCGUCCCCUCGCGGAUGAAUGUCUUUUAUCUCUGAACAAUCUCGGCGCUCCUAGCGGGGUGUUCGAAAAUCAAUCAAAACUUUCAACAACGGAUCUCUUGGUUCUGGCAUCGAUGAAGAACGCAGC
rnacentral:misc_RNA from 1 species